rnacentral:rRNA from 1 species
GUACACGCUGUGACUAGCAUAUCAAUAAGCGGAGGAAAAGAAACUAACAAGGAUUCCCCUAGUAACGGCGAGUGAAGCGGGAAGAGCUCAAAUUUGAAAUCUUAAAGGGUUUCCCUUUACGAAUUGUAGUUUAAAGAAGUGUUUUCUGUUGAGGUUUUGGUAAAAGUUCUUUGGAAUAGGACAUCAUAGAGGGUGAGAAUCCCGUAUUUGACCUUUACUUUCAACUUUGUGAUACACUUUCAAAGAGUCGGAUUGUUUGGGAAUGCAGUCCAAAAUGGGUGGUAAAUUUCAUCUAAAGCUAAAUAUUGGCGAGAGACCGAUAGCGAACAAGUACCGUGAGGGAAAGAUGAAAAGAACUUUGAAAAGAGAGUUAAACAGUACGUGAAAUUGUCAAAAGGGAAGCGUUUGACACCGGUGUUGUUUUUCUGAAAAUCAAUUAAAGAACUGUUUAUGCUAAGCUGUUUAGACUUUAUCAGCUAUCUGUUUAGUUUUGAGCUUUUCUUUAAUGCACUUUUCAGUUAACAAGUCAACAUCAAUUUCUUUUGCUGUAAAAAAGCUUGAGGAAGGUGGCUUGAGAUUCGUCUUAAGUGUUUAUAGCCUCUUGCCUAUGCAGUCGGAGAGAUUGAGGUCUGCAGCGUAGAUCCUUCGGGGCUAAAUGCAUUUGUGCUAAGUUAUAACAUUUUAUAGACAACUUGUUGACUAUGAUUUGUCUUGUAGCUUACUCGCUUAUGUUAUUUUACCUACGCUUAGGAUGUUGACGAGACUGUCGAUCUC